CACAGAACUCGUGAAAAAAACCGAGUUCGGCGGGCCCUUCUGUUCUUUUCCAUUAGAGGCUCGCAUUUGACAGGAACAACAACGCAACGCCAGAGCAGUCUCACUUUGUUUUGUUCAAACACAACAGAUACACACAAUUUACAACGCGUAUAAUUCAGUGAUAGUUUAGUUUAGAGUGUUUAGCUGACGUGGUGUGUUAUUUCGGAUUGUCAGUUACUUCUAGAGUCCAGAACAUUAAACUGAAAGUCGUUCUUCAAUAAGUAGGUCAGUUAUGGCUGAGCAGCGAGACUCUGUUGAUGCAACAAUUGCUCCUCUACAGGGUGAGGUUGAGGCUCUCCCCCUCGGGACUUUGGUACCGCCGAAAAUAACGAACGCCAACAGACCGAUUCACGGCAGUUUGUUUCAGUUUAAAUUGACAGAGAUCGCCCUGAUACGAGGCAUAGGCGGUGGGUUCCCAUUCCAUUUGGGCACGGAAAUUCAAGAGUUUGGGAAAUUCGAUGACUUGGUUUUCAAGUAUCAAGUGACGACAGGCGAUCAACGUCAACAGUGGCGCUACAAAUUUGUACAGGCCAAGCACAAGUUGGACGAAGGCAACUAUCCUCAAGUCGCAGUCGCUGAUUCCUUUCCCGCGGGUGGGCCGAUCGCGAUCCUCGUUCAUCGCCAACGCCGUCGGAAGUGCCAGGAGCGGCGGAGCGGGAAAUCCCAUGAUGAUGAGUUCCAGAAGCAACGCCAACGUCAAAAGCCCCAACAACUGGAUGAUGAAUAACGCAGACAUCAAACGACACUUGAUCCCGUUCCCGAGGGUCGGCAAACGCCAGAAUCUCAUCCCGUUUCCCAGGGUGGGACGGGCCGGAUAUUACCAGCCUGGAUUCUUCCCCAGCACCGACGACGAGGAAAGCCAGGCCAGCAUCCAGCAGCAAUUCGCCCUGUCGUCCGAAGAGUCCCAGGCCUCCGCUCCGUCAUCUUUCCUCCUGUCUGGCAGCGAUAUUUUAGGGGCUUUGAAUAAUGGGCGAUCCAAUAGCGACGAAAGGACCGCCGUAUUCAUCCCUCGUCGAUGGAUGACCAACAGCCAAGAAUCGGAGGAAUAAUAAAAGAGUUACGUACACACAGUCACUUUCUAUUUAUAAACACAUACAGGUCACCUCUGCUGUAUGGGCUUAUAUCUGACUAAAACUCAUUUCAACAAUAUCAUAUACGAUGCAUUCCGCAGCAGCUGAUCUCUAAAUGUUAUAUCCAAAAAUCAAAGUCAAGUGUUAAAAAUUCUUUUACUCUCUCAAAAAUAUCUGCUAUAUAACCAAAAGUUACUAACUUAGUCAAUGGUUGCGUCACCCCUUGGUAAUGGGGGUCGAAAGAAAAGAGAUAUAUUUCCUCCUAUCGCCAUCUCCAAUCAAAAUUUUACGCAGUCUGAAAAAGGGCUACAAAAACAAACAAAAUAACAUAUUUAUUUUGACAAUUGUAUCGUGAACCAAAAAUUAAACCCCACCCAAAAAAAGAAGAAUUUUCGGAGAACGGUAGAAACAUUUUUUAAUUUUUAAAAUUUGAAUAUACUGUCGUGUGCAAGAAACAGGUGUGUCGUUUCAAUGUUAUCAAUGGGGGAAAGGUUAUAUAAUUUCGAUAUUUAUUUGAUCUGCAGUGUCAACACUCAUUGGCUCAGCUCUGCUGUUGUAAGAAAAUAAAAUUUAAAAGCUUAUUGAAAACUCCAAAAAAUGUGUAAUACAAAAGAAUCUAAAUUA
rnacentral:misc_RNA from 1 species